GCUUUAAGUAAUGGCCUGCUUUGUACUCAUCAAUGCCCAAUUUUGUCAGAUCUGGGAAGCUAAGACGGCAUAGGCCUGGUUAGUACUUAGAUGGGAGACUGCAGGGAAAGCAGCUGCUACAGUU
rnacentral:rRNA from 1 species